UGAAUACGAGAUGCUACGGCGUCGAAGCAGUCUAUGUCAUACUUCCAAGAAAAGCUUGCACUGUCAUAAACAAAUAAUGCCUGUACCAUAACCGACACAGGUGGGUAGGUAGAGUAUACUAAGGGGCGCGAGAUAACUCUCUCUAAGGAACUCGGCAAAAUGACUCCGUAACUUCGGGAGAAGGAGUGCCUUAUUUAUAAGGUUGCAAUAACAAGAUCCAAGCAACUGUUUACCAAAAACACAGGUCUCCGCUAAGUCGUAAGACGAUGUAUGGGGGCUGACGCCUGCCCAGUGCCAGUAGGUUAAAGAAGUUGGUUAGCAUCCGCGAAGCUGAUAACUGAAGCCCUGGUGAACGGCAGCCGUAACAAUAACGGUCCUAAGGUAGCGAAAUUCCUUGUCGGGUAAGUUCCGACCCGCACGAAAGGCGUAAUGAUUUGGAUACUGUCUCGGAGAGGGGCUCGGUGAAAUAGACUUGUCUGUGAAGAUGCGGACUACCUGCACCAGGACAGAAAGACCCUAUGAAGCUUUACUGUAACCUGAAAUUGAAAUUGGACUUUACUUGCGCAGUAUAGGUGGGAGGCGUUGAGAAUAUUCUUGCGGGAUUAUUGGAGCCAUCAGUGAGAUACCACUCUUGUAAUGUUAGAUUUCUAACUUUGUAUCAUUAUCUGGUCAAAGAACAGUUUCAGGCGGGCAGUUUGACUGGGGCGGUCGCCUCCUAAACGGUAACGGAGGCGCACAAAGGUUUCCUCUGAACGGGUAGAAAUCGUAUCUAGAGUGUAAAGGCAUAAGGAAGCUUGACUGUGAGACCUACAAGUCGAGCAGGGACGAAAGUCGGUCUUAGUGAUCUGACGGUGCUGAGUGGAAAGGCCGUCACUCAACGGAUAAAAGUUACUCUAAGGAUAACAGGCUGAUCUCCCCCAAGAGUUCACAUCGACGGGGAGGUUUGGCACCUCGAUGUCGGCUCAUCGCAUCCUGGGGCGGUAGUACGUCCCAAGGGUUGGGCUGUUCGCCCAUGAAAGCGGUACGCGAGCUGGGUUCAGAACGUCGUGAGACAGUUCGGUCCAUAUCCGGUGUAGGCGUUAGAAUAUUGAGAGGAGCCUUCUUUAGUACGAGAGGACCGAGAAGGACAUACCUCUGGUGUACCAGUUAUCGUGCCAACGGUAAACGCUGGGUAGCUAUGUGUGGAGUGGAUAACCGCUGAAAGCAUCUAAGUGGGAAGCCCACCUCAAGAUAAG
rnacentral:rRNA from 1 species